rnacentral:rRNA from 1 species
ACCCUUUAAUGUUUGAUGUUCUAACGUGGACCCGUAAUCCGGGUUGCGGACAGUGUCUGGUGGGUAGUUUGACUGGGGCGGUCUCCUCCUAAAGAGUAACGGAGGAGCACGAAGGUUGGCUAAUCCUGGUCGGACAUCAGGAGGUUAGUGCAAUGGCAUAAGCCAGCUUGACUGCGAGCGUGACGGCGCGAGCAGGUGCGAAAGCAGGUCAUAGUGAUCCGGUGGUUCUGAAUGGAAGGGCCAUCGCUCAACGGAUAAAAGGUACUCCGGGGAUAACAGGCUGAUACCGCCCAAGAGUUCAUAUCGACGGCGGUGUUUGGCACCUCGAUGUCGGCUCAUCACAUCCUGGGGCUGAAGUAGGUCCCAAGGGUAUGGCUGUUCGCCAUUUAAAGUGGUACGCGAGCUGGGUUUAGAACGUCGUGAGACAGUUCGGUCCCUAUCUGCCGUGGGCGCUGGAGAACUGAGGGGGGCUGCUCCUAGUACGAGAGGACCGGAGUGGACGCAUCACUGGUGUUCGGGUUGUCAUGCCAAUGGCACUGCCCGGUAGCUAAAUGCGGAAGAGAUAAGUGCUGAAAGCAUCUAAGCACGAAACUUGCCCCGAGAUGAGUUCUCCCUGAGACUUAGAGUCUCCUGAA